CAAAAUUGUUGAAUUCAAACUGGUAGUCUGGUACUCAACAUCAUUUUAUUUUUUAGAAAAUUUGAAAAUCUCAUUGCCUGUAAAAGAAAAAUAUAUAUAAAGAAGAAGAAAAUAGGAUUUUGAGGCUGUGUUGGCGCGAGAAGAUACUGCUUCAACGUCGAUCUGAUUCACGGAAAAUGGGUUCAAACCCGCCGUUUGUUCUCGAGAUCGGACCCGAUGGUAUUCCCAAAGAAGCUUCGGUUAUCAGUUACACAGAACAGAUAAUCGAAGCAGAGCAACUUCAAUUGAAGAAAUACAUUGAGGAAAACUAUUCUAAAAUUCGUGAUGUGGAGCGUGAGCUUGCAAAUCUGGGAUUGGAGAUGAAACUUACAUCUGGACCAAAGAAAGCAGCGUUGGAACAUAUGAGAACAAAGAUAGAGGCAUCAACAGAGAAAAUUCGUGUGGCAAAGCUAAAGGAAGAACAGGCACAUAAGGCGUGGGAAUCAGCAUCCAAAGCAGUGAGGGAUGAAGAGCAAAUAAAGCAGAAAUUAUGUGAAGACUUAAGUAAACUGGUAGAAGAGAGCAAUAACUCUCAGUUGUCUAGGCUGGAGGAAUUAAAAAGACGAUUGGAAGCUAUGAAUCCAAACCGGCAGUCAAGUAGUCUUCACAGUGCUGGGAGAUCAAGUUCUCUGGAUAGUGCAAUCCAAGAUGGCUCCUCCCUUCCCAGCACAAGGGAAUCAAAUGAAGGUUCGGCUGUGAAUGUUCCGUACCAAAAUAAUGGUCCGAAAGUUCCAGCGGCCAAUGAGCAUAAACCGCAGCCUCCUAGUGAAGGAGAACAAAGAAAUAGAAAGAAAGUUAACCUAAGAGGUAAAGGAAUUGGUGCAGUGCCCAAGACUAGGUCUUCAACUCCUGACUGGACUGGUUCUGGUUUUAAUGUAGAUGGCAGAAAUUAAUGGUACUAUGGUAAUGCGUUACUGCACCAGAUACAUUUGGUUGAGAAGUCUUUACGAUCUGCGGAAGCUGCCUUUGCUUCAUAGACAUCUCCAGGUCCAGUGCCUGUUUGCUUCAAAAGCUUCCGAAGAAAACUUUUUAAAAUGACAACUUUCAAAUUUAUCAUGGUGGGGAUGAAACUAAUUUCCUCUUUCUCUAUGCAAUAAGUUUGUUGUUCAAAUGUUGGUUCAAUUGUCUAUAUGCGAUUUUAGUAGCAUAAGUUUGAUUCGGUUCUCUGUAUGUCAAAAAGUAAUUCUAGAUUAAGCUUAAUUAUUUGAACUUAA